CCAAAGUGUUGGGAUUAUAGGCGUGAGCCACCGUGCUGGGCCCCAAAAAAAGCUUUUAAAAAGAGAAACACUCAGCUGAUGAAAGAAACCACCGCUCUAACCAUGGCAAUGCUUGGUUGACCUUUCCCUUCCUUUCUAGCGGUUGAGAACAACAGGCAAGAACAACCAUAGGAAGAAUCUAGCAAACUCAGACUUUAUUUCUCCCUUUUGUGGUCCUAGAAACAGCUCAGAAUACAGUGGAUCUGGACCUCUACAGAAGAGAGGGAGCUUUGGACUCCAGCACCCUCUUGAUUUCUUCAUAUGUAAUGAAGACGUCAGACGAUCUCUGAGGGCCCUUUGGACUCAGAUGUUCUCCGAUCAGGAUUUCAUGGCUUUUCAAAUCUACUGGAAGCUCCUCAGGCAGCUAGGAUCCCCAUCAAUCCUGGACCCCUGUGCCAGCCCAGAAGAUCAAGAGUGCUGGAGAAAGGGAAGCUGGAAGAAGAUCUGCUAGCUGGGAUUCCUGGCAGGGCUGAAGGAGGUCAGAGCCGGCACUGAACAGACUCCAUUGUGGCAGCUCCUUUCUCUACUCUGGACUACAGUCCUUUUGGGAUCCUGCUUUGCACUCACUGAUGAGAAAAUGACAAGGGAAGCCUCCAGCUCCAAGAAACUAUGGAUUUUUAAAAAUGAAAGUAUAAAAGCCCCAGAAGAAAACA